UCCUAGAUAGCUCACUUGGUUAGAGUGUGGUGCUGACAGCGCCAAGGUUACAGGUUCAACCCUCGUAUGGGAC